rnacentral:rRNA from 1 species
CCUACGGGGGGCAGCAGUGAGGAAUAUUGGUCAAUGGGCGGGAGCCUGAACCAGCCAAGCCGCGUGAAGGAAGAAGGCGCCAGGCGUCGUAAACUUCUUUUGUCGGGGAACAAAGGGCGCCACGUGUGGCGUUGUGAGUGUACCCGAAGAAAAAGCAUCGGCUAACUCCGUUCCAGCAGCCGCGGUAAUACGGAGGAUGGGAGCGUUAUCCGGAUUUAUUGGGUUUAAAGGGUGCGUAGGCGGUCCGGAAAGUCAGCGGUAAAAGCCCGGGGCUCAACCCCGGCCAGCAGUUGAUACUGUCGGACUAGAGACGGCGAGAGGUACGUGGAAUGCGAGGUGUAGCGGUGAAAUGCAUAGAGAUCGCGAAGAACUCCGAUUGCGAAGGCAGCGUCCCGGCGCCGGACUGACGCUGAGGCACGAAAGCGUGGGGAUCGAACAGGAUUAGAUACCCCAGUAGUC